rnacentral:rRNA from 1 species
AUUGAACGCUGGCGGCAGGCCUAACACAUGCAAGUAGAACGAGUGGCGGACGGGUGAGUAAGGUCUGGGAAAAUGCCUGAUGGAGGGGGAUAACUACUGGAAACGGUAGCUAAUAACGCAUAACAUCAGAUGUGCCCAGAUGGGAUUAGCUUGUUGGUGGGGUAACGGCUCACCAAGGAGACGAUCCCUAGGUGGUCUGAGAGGUUGACCAACCACACUGGACCUGAGACACGGUCCAGACUCCUACGGGAGUCUGCAGUGGGGAAGAUUGCACAAUGGGCGCAAGCCUGAUGCAGCCAUGCCGCGUGUAUGAAGAGGGCCUUCGGGUUGUAAAGUACUUUCAGCGGGGAGGCGUUACCCGCAGAAGAAGCACCGGCUAACUCCGGGCCAGCAGCCGCGGUAAUAC